UCUUGAAAUCUACCUUAUAUCAAAUAUUUUUAUGUCACACAUUUAGAUGAAGUUCAUUACAUUGAGACAGCAGCUUUAUUACUGGUAUCCACAUUUAAUUCUAUGUUUACAAUAAAAAGCUCCAUGAUAUAAGCCCAAAGCCCUAACCAUAUGAUGCUAUGUCUUCUCUCCUUCACUCAUGAGACCUUUGUUGAAGGCCUACUCUGUGCUACACUCUGUUGUAUUUUCUGCUAUAAGUCAUGAUUUGCUGAGGAUGCCUCCACCCCACCCCUAGUUUCAGUAGUGGAAAUGGUCAAUAUGUAUGGGAGGUACAGAAACAGGAGGUCACUUACAUAGCAUCUAACUGCUAUUCCCCCAUUUCAUAAUUCUGUCACUUAUUUGUAACUCCCAGAGGCAGGGCAUACCACUUGGGACUUUGUUUAGAAAUAGUUUUCCUUCCUUCAGAAUCUGAGCUCUGAAUUUCUUUUAUCUCAAUUUUUGUCUUUACAGAGAAGUAAGAUGAGGAAAGAAGACAAGAACAAAAAGAGGAAAGGGAAACCCCAAGUUUCAGGUGAAGGGAUAUGGUGCUUUGCACUCAGUCUUCUAUUCAGUCAGUCACUAAACCCAAUGAGUACCCAGUGGUGCACACCGAGCAGACUCAGGAAUCAGCAGACACCAUGGAGGCAGAUUAGAGGCUGUAGAUGCUGUGUGUUAGAAUCGGAGAAAGCUGCAGGCAGGACUUCAUAAGAGACUGACCCCAUAAGAGGCAGAUUCUGAACUGGACCUUGAUGUGAUCAUGCUGGGGAGGAGGGCAACCAGACAGGGAAUCCAGACACACACUCCACUCCCAGGGGCUUGAAUUUAGGAGAUGGGGGGUAAAGUUCAUGCUCACACCACAGUUAGUUUAGUGUAAAAGAGUGCAUGUGCAUGCGUGUGUGUACUCCACUCUAUAGAAUAGGUGGUCAUUUCAGGGAAGAGGAUUGUGUUUGAUUACUUGGGGCCAGAAAUAGCAGAUGUCCCCUCCACUCCCCAGUGCUCUAGAAAUAAGAACAUUUUAUUACCUCACCACAUAAGUCCAGAGGUAGGAAAUCCUAAGGUUGCUCAAUGUAAUGACUUAAUGGCAUCAUGACCAGGUCCUUCCCAUCCCACUCCCUGUUUAGGCUGGGUCCCCUGUUGCUAAUAUUGUCCCCAUAGCUGCAGGAACCAGAGAGGAGAUAGGCAGCAUCUUGUCCUUUUAUCUUGUUUUAAGAGGAAGGACAACUGGCUCAAGGGACCUUCACCAGCACACCCCCUCUGAGUCUCACUAGCUAGUUUUUCAUCAUGGCCAGUCACUCUGGCAGCAAUGGAACUCAAAAGCACUGGAUAAACUAGUGCACAUUCAACCCCUGGGGCUGGGAUGGUUCAGGCUUCUUUGAAGCCUGGCCAUCAAUAUUGAACAAAGUGGCUUCUGGGAGAAAGGUGUGCAGGCAACUGGUGGCGGUAACCACCAAGAGAUGGUGAGCGCUGACCCUGCUCUGAAGGUGGGAACAGCUGUGAGGCCUGGGGGCUUCAGCUGAGCUCUCAAAGGGGCAUCAGAACUGAAUUCUUGCUCAUGCAGUUUGUCCCUGAUGCCAAAGCUCUUGCUACCAAAAUAGCAUGAUUUUACAACUCUCCAAUCAGCCUCCAUAGGUACUGCCUACAAACUUGCUGAACACAGCAAGCAGAAAGUUGGAAGCUGCAUGGAUAUCAUACAUCUAGUAUAACACAGAAUCCACAGUGGCCUUUGUGGGUUUUUUAAUUCUAAAAUUCUCAGAAUCAAGACUUUUGAAUAUAGAAAUCACUGAUUCUAGAUCAUGGGAUUAUGCCACCUUGUCAUAUUUAACUAGGUAGUUCAUAAUUCUAAAUCAUUCGAAAUCAGAAAAUAAAAGAAAUGAACUUCUUUGUAUUUGAACAUGUUAGAGAACCACACUUGCCUGAAACUGACGCCAUGUCGCCUCAGUAACCACACUGCUCAGUUUUCUUCAUACAUCCUUCUAUCCUGUACUUGAUGUUUCCUGUACACCUAAAGGACACCUUCAGACACACAGUGAGGAUUUGUGACACCAACACUGUUUAUCUGGAGUGCAUCAAAAUCAGUGAAGCAGCUGGGACAUGCCUGAGACAAGCAGAGCUGUUGCCAGUUGGCAUCAUUUCCUGGCAGUAGGACAAGACUCUCAGAAACUUAAAUGUUCCUCUUCUUCUCUAAAGCCACCCCAUACACACAGGCCUGAUUCUGAACUGCGUAAGCUUGGCAUAUCUCAGUCUUUUUGCUUUAUGUGUAGCUUUUUUCUGUAUAAAUUCAUUUCCUCAUAAGUGCAUUUCAUAAUAUACGUUUCACAUUUCCAGAUGUAUUUUUAACACUACUUGUUCUUCAAAACCCCAUUUUGCCAUGGGCUACUGUAUAAUGAGAUUUAAGAUUUUUUCCAGGACUGUUCUCUUUAUGCACACACAAUUCCAUCAGGGGUGGAAAAUGAUGACUAAAAGGAGAAAACUAACUGCUUUGUAAUACCAGACUGUACUUGAUCAAAUAAAAUGCAACCUUUGUUAUUUCUAA